rnacentral:ribozyme from 16 species
UCAUUUUUUUGUGUUGUUUUGUAUCGUUCUGCGUGUUUUCUUUCUUUUUCUUUCUUUUUUUUUCCUUUUCAUUUUGUAUCAAAGCCAGCAGCGAGUCUGGGGCCGACGGGAUCGCCGGGAUGGAUCAGAAGAUGAGAAGAGGA